CUAAGUUUGAUGGCGACCGGCGCACGGGUGAGUAACACGUAUCCAACCUGCCGAUGACUCGGGGAUAGCCUUUCGAAAGAAAGAUUAAUACCCGAUGGCAUAGUUCUUCCGCAUGGUGGAACUAUUAAAGAAUUUCGGUCAUCGAUGGGGAUGCGUUCCAUUAAGUUGUUGGCGGGGUAACGGCCCACCAAGCCUUCGAUGGAUAGGGGUUCUGAGAGGAAGGUCCCCCACAUUGGAACUGAGGCACGGUCCAAACUCCUACGGGAGGCAGCAUG
rnacentral:rRNA from 1 species